GGGUCAGUAGGUUGGUCGUGCCACCGGUACGUACUGGUCUCACUGAUUCCUCCUUCCUGAAGAACCGUAAUGCCAUUAAUUUGGUGUUGCGGGGAAACAGGACUGUUACUUUGAAAAAAUUAGAGUGUAUAAAGCAAGCUAACGCUUGAAUACACUAGCAUGGAAUAAUGAAAUAGGACGAUCGAUCCUAUUUUGUUGGUUUCUAGGAUUGACGUA
rnacentral:rRNA from 1 species